rnacentral:rRNA from 1 species
UAAGGAAUAUUGGUCAAUGGACGCAAGUCUGAACCAGCCAUGCCGCGUGAAGGAUGAAGGUCCUCUGGAUUGUAAACUUCUUUUAUCUGGGACGAAAACGGGAUUUUUAUCUCAAUUGACGGUACCAGAGGAAUAAGCACCGGCUAACUCCGUGCCAGCAGCCGCGGUAAUACGGAGGGUGCGAGCGUUAUCCGGAUUUACUGGGUUUAAAGGGUGCGUAGGUGGGCUUAUAAGUCAGUGGUGAAAUCUCCGAACUUAACUUGGAAACUGCCGUUGAUACUAUAGGUCUUGAAUUAUCUGGAGGUAAGCGGAAUAUGUCAUGUAGCGGUGAAAUGCUUAGAUAUGACAUAGAACACCAAUUGCGAAGGCAGCUUACUACAUAUAAAUUGACGCUGAGGCACGAAAGCGUGGGGAUCAAACA